AGGCUGGGGCGGCGUGCUAACACAUGCAAGUCGAGCGGAGUCAGUAAGAAGAAGUUUUCGGAUGGAAUCUUAUUGAUUUAGCGGCGGACGGGUGAGUAACGCGUGAGCGACCAACCUUGCACAGGGGGAUAACGGACCGAAAGGUUCACUAAUACCGCAUAAGACCACGGUGUUGCAUGACACAGGGGUCAAAGGAGCAAUCCGGUGCAAGACGGGCUCGCGUCCGAUUAGGUAGUUGGAGGGGUAACGGCCCACCAAGCCUAUGAUCGGUAGCCGACCUGAGAGGGUGAUCGGCCACAUUGGAACUGAGAUACGGUCCAAACUCCUACGGGAGGCAGCAGUGGGGAAUAUUGGGCAAUGGGGGAAACCCUGACCCAGCAACGCCGCGUGAAGGAAGAAGGUUUUCGGAUUGUAAACUUCUGUCCUUGGUGAAGAGAAGAAGACGGUAGCCAAGGAGGAAGCCCCGGCUAACUACGUGCCAGCAGCCGCGGUAAUACGUAGGGGGCAAGCGUUGUCCGGAAUGAUUGGGCGUAAAGGGCGCGUAGGCGGCUUUGUAAGUCUGGAGUGAAAGUCCUCUUUUCAAGGGAGGAAUUGCUUUGGAAACUAUAGAGCUUGAGUGCAGGAGAGGUUAUCGGAAUUCCCGGUGUAGCGGUGAAAUGCGUAGAUAUCGGGAGGAACAUCGGUGGCGAAGGCGGGUAACUGGACUGCAACUGACGCUGAGGCGCGAAAGUGUGGGGAGCAAACAGGAUUAGAUACCCUGGUAGUCCACACGGUAAACGAUGAAUGCUAGUGUAGGAGGUAUCGACCCCUUCUGUGCCGCAGUUAACACAAUAAGCAUUCCGCCUGGGGAGUACGGUCGCAAGAUUAAAACUCAAAUGAAUUGACGGAAGGGCGAA
rnacentral:rRNA from 1 species